AACUACAAGAAUGUCAUUAUAGAAUUGAUGAAGACCGGAGUCACAGUCGAAAUUGUCGAGCAGGUAACAUCUAAAAACUAUACCUUGUCUGAACAAAAGAAAAAAAGAAAAGUAUGAUUACAUUAAC